CCGCAGUAGCCACCUCACAAAAACUCAAGUUUAAAUCUAAUUAAUUUUUUUAUUGCUAGAAAAAAAAAUGGUUUUUGGUUGAUUUGGUUCCACUGAGUUCGACAUUCCCGACGACUUUCAGACGUUUCCCAGUGAUGAUCGGCCCUGCAACCACCACUAUUCGAAUCAGCAGACUCCUAACAACAAAAUUUGAGCUUUGCAUGCUUGAAUCUACCCCUAAAUCGAAGAUUUCCAUAAACCCAGCUCACGGUGGCGUUUUCCAACGAGGAUCCGAGUUUUCUCCGAUCGAUUUCAGGCUUUCCGACAUUUUUUGGGUUAGUACAAGUUGAGAAAACUUAACAGUCGCAACCUUCAAUAUGUAUUUUGAAGAAGCUUUCAAAUUGAAAUAUGUGUUGGAAGAAUUCUUAAAGCUUCGUCGUGGGCAACGAAAACCCACAAUUUUGGGUCCAAGGGAGGAUAUUUCUUUUCCGACUUCUCUUUUAUUUAUUAAUAUUUAUUUUUUGUCAUUUCUAAAUGAUUCUCACCCCUUUUUUUUUUUGCAGUUUUCUGUGGAGGUUUAUUUGAACAUGGGAAAUCAAGAGUUGCUGCUCACAGAAAAGCUGAUGCAAGGAUCAGAACAUUUGCACACAUUACAGUCACCAUGGCAUUUGCAAAUUUGGGCCAGCUUGUAAAUUUGACCACCCGUUACAUAUAUCAUCUUCACCUACAUCUGGUCCUGAUCAUCAACUUCCUUUCAGUGAUUCGGC